rnacentral:tRNA from 1 species
AGGAUUAUAGUUUAUAAAACAUUUGAUUUGCACUCAAAAAAUAUUGAUUAUUAUCAAUUUAUCUUA